rnacentral:tRNA from 1 species
GACGGUAUGGCUCAGGUGGCAGAGUACCAACCUGACAAGUAGGAAGCCUGUGUUCAAAUCCCAAGUUCCAUCA